rnacentral:lncRNA from 1 species
GUGCUGGUUGUUUGUUUCUCCUCCAAAUUGACACCCACACCAUAGCACAACAGUUUUAUGUGCUCUGCUAGGCAAAGAAUGACAUGGAGUUAUUGCCUCUCUGUCUGGGCACAAUGUGUCUCAAUGUGCUCAGUGGGGGUGUUUUUGAGCCAUCAUGAGCCAGGAAAAAGACUUUCACAAGGUAAUGUCAUCACUUAAGGCAAGGACCAGCCAUUUACAUUUCUUUUGAGGUGGAAUGUCAUCAGUUAAGGCGGG